UACGGAGGGUGCAAGCGUUAUCCGGAUUUACUGGGUUUAAAGGGUGUGUAGGCGGGUUUUUAAGUCAGUGGUGAAAUCUCCGAGCUCAACUUGGAAACUGCCAUUGAUACUAUUGAUCUUGAAUUCUGUUGAGGUAGGCGGAAUAAGUCAUGUAGCGGUGAAAUGCAUAGAUAUGACUUAGAACACCAAUUGCGAAGGCAGCUUACUAAGCAGAUAUUGACGCUGAGGCACGAAAGCGUGGGGAUCAAACAGG
rnacentral:rRNA from 1 species